rnacentral:lncRNA from 1 species
GUACUACUCAGAACUCUCCCUCCAAAAUCGUUCUCCCCAACCAGCGUCGUCCUCCCAGCUCUCCUCCAGUCGAUCGCCCGUCUUAGUAUUAUUCUCUCUGAGCGUUUCAUUAACCCCGAACUGCUCUCCGUCGUUCUGUCUUCGUAGGUUCGUCCGAGCGUCACCCAGCCGUUAGAACUCCCAAGGUACGUCUUUGUAGAAAAAAACGGAACCCAUUUUUUUUGAAAAACUUCCUCAUUCGUUUGGUUUCUCCAACAUUCUUCGUUACUAUUUUUUGCGUCAGUUACUACUAUUGAUAAACAAUUUUUUUGGAAACCCUAUUUCACGGUAUAAAUAUUUUUUUGUUGAUUUUAAAAUAUUAUCUUCGACAGUGACAGUAGUUCUUCCUAUAAAUAUUUUUAAUUUUGCAGGUUGUUGACUCUUGACUUAGAUCCUGAAGAACAAUUUUAAAUUAAUUUAAGAUUUUAAUUAAAUUUUGUAUCUGACUUUAAAAAAUUC